rnacentral:rRNA from 1 species
GACGAACGCUGGCGGCGUGCUUAACACAUGCAAGUCGAACGGAAAGGCCCUGCUUUUGUGGGGUUCUCGAGUGGCGAACGGGUGAGUAACACGUGAGUAACCUGCCCUUCUCUUUCGUGUAACUUCAGGAAACUGGGCCUACUCCCGUAUAGGAUCUCCUGCUGCAUGGUGGGCGUUGGAACGUUUCGGCUGUAGGGGAUGGAGUCGCGGGUUAUCAGCUUGUUGGUGGGGUAGUGGCUUACCAAGGCUUUGAAGGGUAGGCGGCCUGGGAGGGUGACCGGCGACAAGGGGACUGAGAGAGGGCGCAGAGGGCAAUGGGAGGCAGCGGGGGGGAAUAUUGCACAGUGGGCGGAAGCCUGAGGAGGAAACGUUGGGGGCGGGAUGACGGCUUGCGGGGAGUAAACAGCUGUAGCUUGUGACGAAGCGUGAGUGACGGUAAUGGGUAAAGAAGCACCGGCUAACUACGUG